UGGCUACAAGUCUGAUCGUUAUUGCCAUUCUUAUUUAUUCAAUCAAGAAACUCAAGAAACAAUCUUGUGGUGUUUGUAAAGCCGCUGUUGUCUUGAAAACAAAUGUUGAGACGGCCAGUGGUCAUCAGCAGAGUCAGCAGACAGAUGAGGAUUUAUUGGUUUAUUCUUCAGCAACCUUCUCCGGUAGGAAAGCUAGAACAGGAAGGUCAAAGAAUUCAAAAACAGUGGAAGAAGAGAGUAUCUACACUGAUGUCAGGUUGCAGGGGUUGGAUUAACAGUCCGAACACUGGAUUUUAUGUCUGCACCCUGUGGGGAGUUCAUUUCACCUCUUAAAUUAUUAAAGAAUUAUUUAUUUUGGGUGACU